GCCCAGCCAUAAACACAAGUAGUAGCCUUACACCUGCUGCUCGCCCGGGGACUACGAGCAUAAGCUUAAAACCCAAAGGACUUGGCGGUGCUUUAGAUCCACCUAGAGGAGCCUGUUCUAGAACCGAUAACCCCCGUUCAACCUCACCUUUUCUUGUUUCCCCCGCCUAUAUACCGCCGUCGUCAGCCUACCCUGUGAAGAACACAUAGUAAGCAAAAUUGGCAGAGCCCAAAACGUCAGGUCGAGGUGUAGCGUAUGAAAAGGGAAGAAAUGGGCUACAUUUACUGAACCAGUACACACGAACGAUGCUUUGAAACAAACAUCUGAAGGAGGAUUUAGCAGUAAGGAGGAAAAUAGAGAGUUCCCCUGAAACCGGCCCUGAAGCGCGC
rnacentral:rRNA from 1 species